GCCUACUAGCCUGAUUCCCGUUUACACCAAAGGCAGUGUAAGUAAAGACCUUCAGGUGUUAUAAAUUACACUUUGAAGCUCUUUACAUUGCUAAGCUCAUAAGGUAGCUUUAAUGUAACAGAGAGCCAGGCACUAUUGACUUUAGAUCUAUGACAAGUUCAGUCACCAUGUAGCAGCUGGAGAAUAGCCAGGACAGGACCCAUUGACCUUCUCCACAAUAUUAUGGGGACAUGGGUCCUCUCCAGCUUCCCUGUCUUGACAUACAGGUGUGAAGCUGCACAGGUGCCUUCAAUGCCCCGGAGAGAUGAGAUGGGAUGGCAAGAAGUGGAGGCUGCAAGCACCAGCCAAGACUCUGGAUGUAGGAUGCUGACACAUCUGGUGGGACAAUGUUCUCUGCACAGCAUCUCCUCUGAAAGGGCAGUGUGUGACUGGAUGGAAAUAUCACAGCAGCCAGGCCAGCCUAUGUCUUGCCCCAUGGACCAUGUAGGAAAAGCAAGAUAUAAUACUGUGACUGACUGGAAGAGCCUUAGUUAAUUCAAAGACCGAUUGCGUCCAGCAGCAAGAAUUGCACAACAGCUACAAAUCAAAACAAUAGAGAAAAUGUCAGUGGGAGUAAAAGCCACAAUGUAAAAUAUAAGGGAUUCCACUGUACAAACUAGUGUCCAGUAGACUCAUACCAGAUCAAAUUUGUGCUUAAAUCACAGUAACUCCAGUCCCCUUAUAACUUCUAGCUUGUCUGGUGAUUCUUUAUUGCUAUAUAUUAUUUUCCCAUUCUUUUUUUUUUUUUUUAUUUUUUAAGCCACUAUAAAACUUUCCACAUGACAAAUGUCUGGGUACUCCACCUUUCUCUCCACAUAACCUUACUUUUUAAAGAAUCUGUCCAUCAGUCAAAUGAGGAGUUUUUUUCCUACCUGUAGUUCAUCAUGUGGCAAUAGGUAGCUAGGUCUGCUGAGAGCAGUAUCUCCAGCUAAGCAAAAUGCCUUUCCUUGCCAUGUGCAGAGACUGUGAAGCUGCAGAUCCACCAGGCAUGCCAGCACCUUCUGUUUAAAAUCUAUUUUUCCUUUGGGUUUGGGCCAACAGUUCAAAGCCAAUUGCAGUGGUUGAGUCCAGACUUCUAUGAAAUGGCUUUCUCGGGUAGUGUCUAAUACCUUUCCUUGACAGCCUUGUCAGUACUGGAGCAUGUUUCCACAUCUUGGCUUGGGGUUAAACACAUUCAAAAUGUUGUGCAAAAUGGAGGCUCAAAUACAAAAUGGAAUGCACAGUUUGAGUCUGCUGGAUCCCACUGUGUCAUGGCAUAAAUGGUACUCCCCCAGCUGCCUGGAAUGGCAGGCUCUCCACUGGUCUCCCUGCUCUGGAGAGAAAACAGUAAAACUAGACAUGGAAGUGGACAAUAAAAAAAGAUUGGAGGCAUGGAAUGACUUCCA
rnacentral:lncRNA from 1 species